GGGGGGGGGUUCUUUUGAACGAGUUACCCCUCACCUUUCCAAAAAAAGGCACAAUAUGCACUUUCAAGAUUGCAUCCUAAUGUUUCCAUUCGCCCCUGAACAACUACUUUAAAACAAAUCUGCAAGUUAUGGAACUGUAUUUCAUCUAAGUCAUUGUGAAAACUAAUUUUAUUCCCGAAAGGCUCGACUGCUCCCCCAACUUGAAUUGCAAAGGUUCGGGUUUGCAUCGAUAAACCAAUCUUAAUACCCCCCUUUCAAUGCUUUAUUGCACUCAUCCUCCGAUUCGUGUUCUUUAUUUAAUAAAAGGGAGUCGAAAUCAAGCUUUCUACGUCCGCCUUGCUACCGGCGAGGCUCCCCAAAACUCCCAUCCCGGUCUCAACUCCUCGCACCACCCAGGAAUUUAAAGCCCUCCGCUUCGCCUUCGAGCGAGUUCUGCCAACAUCCCCUUUGCUCCGCGCUGAACAUCCACACGCAGCCCCUCCCUUGAUCAAGGAGAUCCGGAGAGGAGCACGCACAUUAUCCGAUCCGUUCCUGCCGCCGUUAGAAAUAAAGGUGGGAUAAAAGUGGUCCAGAUUCCGAAAGGAGGACGCAAGGAUCGCGAACCAGCAACCCCCAGCGCGCAACGUUGGGAGAAAGACCCCCUGGCACAAAAGCGACCUCUCUUUCUCUCUUCCCACCCCCCGUCCCCUCCCCCGCAGAUCCGAUUCCCUCGUCGAUUUCUUUUGCCCAUCAAUUAAAGUUAGCGACUGACCCGCCAGGUCCGGCGGUGUCGCCCUUACCAUUUGCUGCGCGCGGGGCUCGCUGCUCGUCCGAAUGGAUGUGCUGGGGCUUCGCCUGCUUGCGCCUCGACAUGGUGCACCCGCAUCGGGAGCAAAAUAGUAGCAAUUAUUUUCUUCUUCUUCUUCUUCUUCACAACAAAUUCCUAGAGUUGGGAAA